AUGCAGUCGACGCCCUGGUUCGCCAGGGAGUGGCGCACGGGUGAGUAACGCGUGGGAACCUGCCCGGCAGUACGGGACAACCGCGGGAAACUGCGGCUGAUACCGUAUACGGCCGAGAGGCGAAAGAACUUCGCUGUCGGAGGGGCCCGCGUCGGAUUAGGUAGUUGGUGGGGUAACGGCCUACCAAGCCUGCGAUCCGUAGCUGGUCUGAGAGGAUGAUCAGCCACACUGGGACUGAGACACGGCCCAGACUCCUACGGGAGGCAGCAGUGGGGAAUAUUGGACAAUGGGCGCAAGCCUGAUCCAGCAAUGCCGCGUGAGUGAUGAAGGCCUUAGGGUUGUAAAGCUCUUUCGCCCGCGACGAUGAUGACGGUAGCGGGAGAAGAAGCCCCGGCUAACUCCGUGCCAGCAGCCGCGGUAAUACGGAGGGGGCUAGCGUUGUUCGGAAUUACUGGGCGUGAAGGGCUCGUAGGUGGCCAACUAAGUCAGACGUGAAAUCCCCAGGCUCAACUUGGGAACUGCGUCUGAUACUGGAUGGCUUGAAUUCGGGAGAGGGAUGCAGAAUUCCAGGUGUAGCGGUGAAAUGCGUAGAUAUCUGGAGGAAUACCGGUGGCGAAGGCGGCAUCCUGGACCGAUAUUGACACUGAUGAGCGAAAGCUAGGGGAGCAAACGGGAUUAGAUACCCCGGUAGUCCUAGCCCUAAACGAUGAAUGCUUGGUGUGACGGGUAUCGAUCCCUGUCGUGCCGAAGCUAACGCAUUAAGC
rnacentral:rRNA from 1 species